rnacentral:rRNA from 1 species
AUUGAACGCUGGCGGCAGGCCUAACACAUGCAAGUCGAACGAGUGGCGGACGGGUGAGUAAUGUCUGGGAAACUGCCUGAUGGAGGGGGAUAACUACUGGAAACGGUAGCUAAUACCGCAUACCAUCAGAUGUGCCCAGAGUGGAUUAGCUUGUUGGUGGGGUAACGGCUCACCAAGGAGACGAUCCCUAGCUGGUCUGAGAGGAUGACCAGCCAGACAGGUACUGAGACAAGGUCCAGAAUCCUACGGGAGUCAGCAGUGGGAAAUAUGGCACAAGGGGCGAAAGCCUGAUGCAGCCAUGCCGCGUGUAUGAAGAAGGCCUUCGGGUUGUAAAGUACGUGCAGCGGGGAGGCGUUACCCGAAGAAGAAGCACCGGCUAACUCCGUGCCAGCAGCCGCGGUAAUUC